GACGAACGCUGGCGGCGUGCUUAACACAUGCAAGUCGAACGGAAAGGCCCCUUUGGGGGUACUCGAGUGGCGAACGGGUGAGUAACACGUGAGUAACCUGCCCUUGACUUCGGGAUAACUUCAGGAAACUGGGGCUAAUACCGGAUAGGAAUCCUUGCUGCAUGGUGGGGGUUGGAAAGCUUCGGCGGUUUUGGAUGGACUCGCGGCUUAUCAGCUUGUUGGUGGGGUAGUGGCUUACCAAGGCUUUGACGGGUAGCCGGCCUGAGAGGGCGACCGGCCACAUUGGGACUGAGAUACGGCCCAGACUCCGACGGGAGGCAGCAGUGGGGAAGAUUGCACAAUGGGCGGAAGCCUGAUGCAGCAACGCCGCGGGCGGGAUGACGGCCUUCGGGUUGUAAACCGCUUUCAGCAGGGGCGAAGCUUGUGGUGACGGUACCUGCAGAAGAAGCACCGGCUAACUACGUG
rnacentral:rRNA from 1 species